UACGUAGGGGGCAAGCGUUGUCCGGAAUCAUUGGGCGUAAAGCGCGCGUAGGUGGCUUCGUAAGUCCGUUGUGAAAGUCAAAGGCUCAACCUUUGAAUGCCGAUGGAUACUGCGGAGCUAGAGUACGGAAGAGGCGAGUGGAAUUCCUGGUGUAGCGGUGGAAUGCGCAGAUAUCAGGAGGAACACCAAUAGCGAAGGCAGCUCGCUGGGACGUUACUGACACUAAGGCGCGAAAGCGUGGGGAGCGAACAGG
rnacentral:rRNA from 1 species